GAUGAACGCUGGCGGCGUGCCUAAUACAUGCAAGUCGAGCGAACAGACGAGGAGCUUGCUCCUUCGACGUUAGCGGCGGACGGGUGAGUAACACGUAGGUAACCUACCUAUAAGACUGGGAUAACUUCGGGAAACCGGAGCUAAUACCGGAUAAUAUUUCGAACCGCAUGGUUCGAUAGUGAAAGAUGGCUUUGCUAUCACUUAUAGAUGGACCUGCGCCGUAUUAGCUAGUUGGUAAGGUAACGGCUUACCAAGGCAACGAUACGUAGCCGACCUGAGAGGGUGAUCGGCCACACUGGAACUGAGACACGGUCGAGACUCCUACGGGAGGCAGCAGUAGGGAAUCUUCCGCAAUGGGCGAAAGCCUGACGGAGCAACGCCGCGUGAGUGAUGAAGGUCUUCGGAUCGUAAAACUCUGUUAUUAGGGAAGAACAAACGUGUAAGUAACUGUGCACGUCUUGACGGUACCUAAUCAGAAAGCCACGGCUAACUACGUG
rnacentral:rRNA from 1 species